rnacentral:lncRNA from 1 species
AGGUGUUCCACUAUUAGAUGAUUGACUAAAGAAUGGAAGGAAACAGAAGACAGAAGCCUUUAUCUUAAUCUUUCUUUGCUUAAAGAAUCCAUCAGCAGGGACGAUGAUUUUCAAGAGGCUGGGACUUCAGAGGAUGCAAGUGCUUCAAAGGGACGUGAACGAAGACUACUGGUGCACGGUCCGAUAAAGUUAAGAACGGGUAAUAAGAAAACAAAGCAUCAGGCUUUUUUGUACAAGGACGUACUGAAAAUCUCGAACAUUCGGUAGGUGCAUAUGCUGCAUGCUGUCCUGAUCAUCGUGAAAUAUAUUGUCUCUAACAAAAUUCAUUUUCAUGCACUCUUUCUCAGCAAGUAGCAUGUUUUUACUUUGUUUUUGCCAGUGAUUUCAUUCUUCACUUAUUAAACAAGUAGUCAUGGAAGUUUUAUUCUGUAUUGUGCCCCUGUAGACAGUGGAAUCAAGAAUGGGAGAGACAGGGUUCCUCUCUCUCUCUCUCUCUCUCUCUUUGAACAUUUAUUUAUUUUAAAGGAAGAGUUAGAGAGAGGUAGAGGCAGUGAGAGAAAGAGAAGGGCGGGGGAGAAAGAGACACAGAGAGAGACAGAGACAGUCUUCCAUCCGCUGGUU